UAAGGAACUCCAAAGUUCAUACUUUACACCGGUCCCAUGUCAGUGGUUGUUGUUGUUGUUGUUGUUGUUGUUCUUUUGAGGGCUGCACCAGCAGCGUUUGGAGGUUCCCAGGCUAGGGGUCGAAUCGGAGUUGUAGCCACCGCCCUACGUCAGGGCCACAGCAACGCAGGAUCCGAGCCACGUCUGCAACCUACACCACAGCUUACGGGACGCCGGAUCGUUAACCCACUGAGCAAGGGCAGGGACCGAACCCGCAACCUCGUGGUUCCUAGUCGGAUUCGUUAACCACUGCGCCACGACGGGAACUCCAUAUGUUCUUAAUUCUUUUUUGAAUCCUAUACCCUAAUUGCUGAGUUUUUAAAAUUCUGAUCUCUGAGGCACUUGGAUUAUUUUCACUUUUUCUUCUGCAUUUCUUUUUUUUUACAGUGUUUGGUCUUUAUUAUUAAUCACAUCAUCAUGCAUGACAAGAGGAUCAUCAUAUCCAUGGAGAAGUUGAUAAGCAUUUGGAUUGGGCUUACUUAUCCCAGAGUUUUUUGGGACUUUUUAAAUUUUUUAUUGAAUUUUAUUUGGCCAUGCCUAUGGCAUGUGGAGUUUCCUGGGCCAAGUAUCAAGCUAGCACUAUAAUAGUGACCCAAGCAGCUGCAAUGACGAUGCCACAUCCUUAACCUGCUGAGCCUCAAGGAAAAUCCUUUUUUUUAAUUGAAGUAUAAUUGACCUAUAACACUAAGAGGUCCAGAUGCAAGAAUAUACUUUUUUGAUAUUGCUGUGCUUUCCAAAAUGAUCAUCACAGUUAAUAUAGUAACCAUCUGUCACAAGCCAAUGUUAUUACAAGGUCACUAGGUUAUCUAUGCUAUACAUUUCAUCCUCAUAACUCAUUUAUGUUUUACCUAGAAUUUUGUAAGUCUUAUUAAUUUCCCUGGCCUAUUUCUCUCAUCAGUGCACCCAUAUCCCCUCUGGAAACCACCUCUUGGUUUUCUGUAUCUAUGACUGCAUUAUGUGUUUUUGUUAGGUUUGUUCACUUGUUUUUUUUGUUUUUUUUUUUGUCUUUUUUUUUUGCCAUAUCUUGGGGAUUGUUAACCCACUGAGCAAGGGCAGGGAUCAAACCCGCAACCUCAUGGCUCCUAGUCGGAUUCAUUAACCACUGUGUCAUGAUGGGAACUCCCCUGUUCACUUGUUUUGUUUGUUUCCACAUAUAGGUGACAUCACACUGUGUUUGUCUUUGUCUCUCUGACUUAUUUAACUGAGCAUAAUACCCUGUAGGUCCAUCCAUCUUGUCACAAAUGGUAAGAUUGCAUUCUUUUUUAUGACUAAUUGUCCAUCUGUGAUAUAUAUGUGUGUGUGUGUGUGUGUGUGUGUGUGUGUGUGUGUGUAUCAAUCACAUCUUCUCAUGCAUUCAUUUAUUCAUAGAUGCUUUGGAAAACUACCCAGAGGUGGAAUUGUUGGAUUUUCUGAAAUUUCUAUUUUCAAUUUGUUUAGGAAACUCCAUAUUUAAAGUAUAUUACUUAAGAUAAUUAUUAAUUAAUAAUGCAUCCUACUGCAUUUCACCGCAUGCUGCAGAUAUGAGGGUUUUUUUUCUUUAGUGAUAGUAGGUUUGUUAAAGGCAGAAAAAAUUUUAGGAUGCCUAUUUUCUCCUGAUCCAUUUGCAGUAUCUAGAAAAAAGUUCUUAAAUUUCCUUUUUGUUAACUUUUGGUGAUUAUUUAUAAUUGCUAUCCCUAGAGUAGUAUUUUCUAUAAGGGUGAAUCAUUUUGUGUGACACUGAAUGGAACAUAUAUAAAGAGUAUAAAAGCAAUUUUAAUAAAAUCAUUUGGAUUACAAAGAAAACUUAUUCCAUGUUAUGGGCUCAAUUGGGAUGACAAAGGCUGGAAUACAGAGAAAAGAGACAAGACCUGUGGGAAUGCAUAAAAGGGCAGAUUUUAUUACCAAUCCAGGCUCAAAUGGCUCAUCACACAACAGGACAAUAAAGUGAGAGGUGAUACAGAAAUGUAGGCUAAAGAAAUAGCAGCAUUAUUCAGAAAGCUAGCAGACCAAGAAGCCAGUGGACCAGGGUCCCAAAGAGUUUCUACUAAAAGGGGAGAGCUAAAGGAAUAGAUUUAACAGAGAGUCAGGUUUGUUCUUCUCGGUUACAACUUUUCUGCAAUGGAAGAAAAGAAAUGCUUAUUUGUCCCAGGAAGAAAAAGAGAUCGCUCUAGAGUGUGGUGGGAGAAGGAUUUUCCCCAGUAGAAUAUCUGAGAUUUAAUCCCAAGGAAAAUAAGCCUAUAAUUAUGUGUUCAUUCUGACUCAGUUUCUUCUUCUUUGAAGAAAAAAUAUUUAAUUUGUAUGGUUGAUGCCAAGGAAAUUGUAUUUGCUCAUCUAUAACCAAGUGAUUUGCAGACUUUUUUCUCUUUUUUUUUCUUUUGUCUUGCUGGGCCUCACCCAUGACAUGGAGGUUCCCAGGGUGGGGGUCCAAUCAGAGCUGUAGCCACUGGCCUAUGCCAUAGCCACAGCAAUGUGGAAUCUGAGCAGAGUCUGCAACCUACACCACAGUUCAUGGAAAGGCCAGAUCCUUAACGCACUGAGGGAGGCCAGGGAUCAAACCCGCAACCUUAUGGCUCCUAGUCAGAUUUGUUAACCACUGAGCCUUGCCGGGAACUCCCAGAUUUGCAGACUUCUUGACAAUGAGCUGUAUUGUCAUCUUGUUAUCCAAGCUGAUAUGGACACUAUGUUUUCAAAGAAGAAACACAAAAUAUACACAAAAUAUCCAUAGGUAAAAAAUUAUGUGUAAUUUUUGGACUAUAUAUAUAGUAAAGCCUUCAAACUUUACUCUCAGUGAUUGACUAAAACUACUGUUAAAGCUGUAUAUGAUUUUAGUGCUGACUGAGAUGACUACCUCAUUAAUGUGAGGUCACAGUAAGUUCUUUAGCGGGGGGGGGGUGUUUCUGUGUGAGUGUAAAGAUGCUCUACCUAUCUGGAAAUGGGUUAUAACCACGAAUGCAGAGACAUUCUUUAAGGGUGUUGUUUGUUUGGCCUGUGAUCUAAUGCCUUUUUGAGAAAGGCAUCCAUAGGUAUAUUAAAAGUCAUAGAUAUGUUGAUGUAUGUCUUUGCCACCAAUGUUUGGCAUCUUGGAGGCACUUCUCCACUUCUCAGUGGACAUCAGGGGUGAGCAGCCUGCUUUGCCUGGAUCUUGCUCUCAUCAGUUGUGGCCGGGCCUUGUUUCUGUCUCUCAUGGUUGGUUAUACUUCACUCGGCCCUGUGAUUCCCACAGUCCUCAAUGUCCUCACUACUGUCGUACUUGGCAUAUGACUUUUAACCUUUCCCUCUACUCUUUUAGCAAAAAGGCAUUAGGUCAUGGGCCACUUGUCCUCAGGGCUGAGUUUUAACAUCUGUCCUGAAGGACUAUAUUGAGAGAAAACAAGGAGCACUUGGUCCACAAGAGUUUUCUCUUGCUUUCUCCUGAGUCCUAGUAUAUACUGUAAUAGUCAUCACAAGCCCCAUUUUUGCUUUCUAUCAUGAAACUUUCCAAGGACUAAAAAACAGAUAUUAAAGAAAAUAAAGCUCUUCUUUCUCAAGGUUAAAUGUUACAAUAGAAAUAUAUUUUUAUGAUUACUGUCAUUUCAUCAAAUCUGGAAUAUCACUAAAUCAUAUUUUUGGAAAGAAAUUCCUCAUAGCUUACCAGGUUUUCAUGCUUUCAUUAGAGGAGUUUGUUUUAUUUUAUUUUAUUUUGUCUUUUCUAGGGCUGCUUCCCAUGGAAUAUAAUGGUUCCCAGGCUAGGGGUUGAAUUGGAGCUGUAGACACCAGUGUGCACCAAAGCCACAGCAACAUGGGAUCUGAGCUGCAUCUGCAACCUACAUCACAGCUCAUGGCAACACCGGAUCCCCAACCCACUGAGCAAGGCCAGGGAUCGAACCCACAACCUUGUGGUCACUAGAUGGAUUUGUUAACCACUGCACCACGAUGGGAACUCCUAGAGGAGUUUAUUGAUGCUGAGUUGAUCCUGUUCCACAGGUCACCUUUCAAAAUAAUUUACUUUGUUUUGCCUUACAGAUUAUUUCUGUGGUCUUGCCAAAGGUUUGUAGCAAUAUAUUACUAUUAUCCAUGUCUACAGUACCAUAAUGCAUUUUUAUAAUCAACACCACUUUCUAAGCAGAAAACUGAACUUUUUGGGUGACUUUCUCUGAAAAUCGAUUAAUAUUCUUCAGCCAGGAACAUGGCCCUUUUCCAAUAGAAACACACUGAGAACUCUUAAUGGACUUUGAGGAGCAUGGUGAUGUAUCAUGGAUCAUAUGUGAUUAGAAGCAAGAAGGAGAAGAAACUGUUGAUGCCUUGGUUUCUUUAACAAUCUCUCAGUGUUGGCAUAAAUGUCUACAAACCAUCCACUCAUCUUCACCACGCCUCCUUCCGUGAAGGUUCGGCUGUUUUGACAGGAUAAUCUGAAGAUGUUUCCUGAUGAAAAAGAUACUUCGCUGCCUGGAUUGCUCUGUGAUAAGCACUGUUAAAGAUCAUAUUCAGUGAAUUGCAAAAUUCUCAGCAGGAGAAGGUAGAUGAAGAAAAGCCACAAAGACAUUGCAAAAGGUAAGGAAAAGGACAGUGGGCAGAUUAUAAGAAAGGGGAGUGGAAGGGAAAACAACUGUACAACUUUACCAGUGUGAUGGGAAAAAAGGACAAUUAAGGGAUACUUCACGCAGGGCAAAACACACAAAAGCAUUCAUUUUUAAAUUUCUCAUAUUUGUUUUUGCCGAAAGAUGUGUGUGUAUGUAAUUAUUACUCUCCAUUUAGUGAAUAUCAGUGGUGUAGAUACAAAAUGGCACAAAACUGAUUUUCUUUCCUUCCUUCUCCUGACUAGCUGGAAGCGAAAAGUUCCAUAAGUGGUGAUUAAGCCAUAGACUCUUGAGGUAUCCGUUUAAUACACUGGUGGAAAAAAGCCCUAAAAAUUAGAAAAAGCUUAUUGAAAUGAAAAUUCCUUACUUCAGUCAGUUCAGAGAUUCAAAAGAGUUUGGGGAUGAACUAGGAAUUUAUCAAAAAAACUAGUCUUUCUUAUCAGAGUCGAAAAACUCGCACUCUGAGUCUCAUAGUAUAUCUCUUUUAGGAUUUUGAAAACUGUGACCUGAGGGCCACAUCUGGUCUGUCACCUGUUUUUUGUUGAAGCUGUAUGGUAACUCUCACUUGCACCUUUGUUUGCAUGUCUCUGUUUCAUCUGGCUGCUUGGGUGCUACAAAUCCAGAGGUUAGUAGUUGUCACAGAGACUGUAUGUUCCACAAGGCCAAGACUAUUUAUUAUUUGACCCCAUAAAAAUUUUGUUGACUUCUGUAUUUAUUUUAAACAUACCUAUUAUUCCAGGUUCAACUUGAAUCUUUCUAAGAAUUUUCUUGCAAUUUUCCCUGCUCACACUGCCCUCUGUAUCUGUAGAUUGUUGUUAAAAUUAUAGAUAUAUCCAUACCAUCCACAGCUUAACUAAACUUCAGGUAAGUUUUUUUUUUUCUUUCUUCAUUACCUUAUUCUUGCAGCAUUUAUAUGAGAAAACAAAAUUUUAAAUUCCUUCUCCUUCCCUAGGAUAUGUGAAAGUUUUACAACCCAGGAAUGUCUUGCUCAAGAACCUGGGAGACUUCCUUUCUCAAAGUAAUAAUUGAGAAAGAUAAGGCCCCUUUAUCCCAGUCUCUGUGCAGAGGUAGACACUAACUCCCAUUAGUGCUACUUAGAAGGCCACCCUUCAGGCUAAGGACCGGGAGUACUUUUUAAUUAGUUCACUCUGUGUUUGCAAAUCCACCCCCAUCUUUGUUUCAGAGGAGCUGAGUUCAAUCUCUUGCAGUCAUCUUUAAUAAUCUUGACCUUCAGCAAAUUGUGCUUGCAUUUUUUGUUUGUUUGUUUGUUUAUUUGUUUUAGGCUAUACCCUAGGCCUAUGGAAGUUCUAAGGCUAGGGGUUGAAUUGGGCACAGCUGCGGGCCACAGCCACAGCCAUAGCAAUGAGGAGCCAAGCCUCCUCUGUGACCUCUCACAGCAACGUUGAAUCCUUAAGCCACUGAGGGAGGCCAGAGAUUGAACCUGCAUCCUGAUGGAUAGUAGUCAGAUUGGUUUCCACUGAGCUGCUACAGGAACUCCUAGCACAAAGUUUUGGAUAAAGUUUUCCUUGCCAAGGUAAUUCUAUCUAGUGCAAUACUUGUUUGAAACAUCUGUGACUCUUUUCUAUCAAAUAAAAGUCUUACUCUC
rnacentral:lncRNA from 9 species